rnacentral:rRNA from 1 species
UACAGAGGUCUCGAGCGUUGUUCGGAUUCAUUGGGCUUAAAGGGUGCGUAGGCGGUCUCGUGAGUCAGGGGUGAAAUCCCACGGCCCAACCGUGGAAGUGCCUCUGAUACCGCGGGCCUCGAGGGGGAUAGGGGCGUGCGGAACUUCCGGUGGAGCGGUGGAAUGCGUAGAUAUCGGAAGGAACACCGGUGGCGAAAGCGGCGCGCUGGAUCCCUACUGACGCUGAGGCACGAAAGCCAGGGGAGCAAACGGG